AAAAUGUUUAACCACAAAAAGUGCUAAACAAUUCAAAACUAAACAUGAAACCAACGAUAACAACAGUACCCAAUGCACAGAAUUUUACCAACAAACGCCCAACCUAACAUGAUUAAGAUUUAGCUUAAAGGAAUCAAACAAUUAUAUGUUCUUAUAUCUCAAAGGAAUCAAAAUAAUGCGUUACUACUUUCGAUCUAAACAUAAGAAAGAAAGGAAUCGAGUGUGAAUUCCAAAAAAACAAUCACAGAGAAGAUGGAAUUCAAAAUUAAUUACAUCAUUUUUGGACUGAAAUCCAUACCUCAAUCAGUAGUAAUACAUUGCAAAAUUAGCCCGAAUAAAAUCCAAGAAAGGAGCAGGGAGCUCAGCGAUGAGACAGACAAUAACAACAGCGAAAUUGACCAAAUGAGGUUUGAAAUAAGAGUGAGCUCAGCAGUUACUCCAUUAUCAGCAGUAAAACAAAUUAAAACAACUCAAACAUGGACUGAGAUCAGCAAAUCGGAGCCUAGCUAUGCCGAGAACAGUAAAUCUAUAAAUAACGACACCUUUACAACUUGAUUAAGCUUUGAAAUUUCAAGAGAAUAUAAAGCAUGGGAAACUGAGACUUGAAUAAACUUUGUAACUUUUUUUUGGUUUGAUUUUGUUGUUUGUUUUUGAGAUUUUGAAAUUUUAAAAUUCAGAUCUGGAAUACUAGGAUUUUCAGCUGCUACUAGGGCUUAGGCGUGUGUAAGAGAAUGUAUCGUUGAAGAUGGGUGAUGGAGAAGAGAGGAGCUGCCCAUUUUCUAAGGGUCUGUUCUUUUUCUCAUCGCAACAAUGGAGAUGAAGCCCCUUCAAUUAUCAGAUGCGUCGUUUUGUGUACAUGGGUUUAGGAGUCUCUUAUUGUAUCGAAAAAUCUGAUGCC
rnacentral:lncRNA from 1 species